ensembl:lncRNA
GUAUCCCAAAGAGAUAAUGUGUAGCAUACUGUAUCCCAAAGAGGUCAUACUGUAUCCCAAAGAGAUCAUAGCAUACUGUAUCCCAAAGAGAUCAUAGCAUACUGUAUCCCAAAGAGGUCAUACUGUAUCCCAAAGAGAUCAUGUUUGGAAAGUGCAAAGAGCAAAGUAAUAGUGCAGAAUAUGUAAGUGGUAAAGUCUGUGCAAAGAGAUCAUUUAUAACAUACUGUAUCCCAAAGAGAUCACAUAUAGCAUAUUGUAUCCCAAAGAGAUCUUGUAUAGCAUACUGUAUCCCAGAGGUCAUAGCAUACUGUAUCCCAAAGAGAUCAUAGCAUACUGUAUCCCAAAGAGGUCAUAGCAUACUGUAUCCCAAAGAGGUCAUAGCAUACUGUAUCCCAAAGAGGUCAUAGCAUACUGUAUCCCAAGCUUAAUGCUGCUGAUGCAGGCUCAGUUUUUUUAUCAACCCUCUUUUUUCCCCUCUACCAAAGUAUACACACAAGCUUUCAUCACACCCAGGCUAAAUGACUCAAAGUAGCAGUUACACAUUAAAGGGCCUUUUCUAUUGUACGGCAAGAAAUGGCUUCAUUAAUGCUUAAUCAGGCCCUGUCUCUGGGCGUGGAUGAAGCUGUCUUUAAGUUGACCUCCGACAGCUGUGCAG